rnacentral:rRNA from 1 species
CAGUCGCCGCGGUAAUACGUAGGUGGCAAGCGUUGUCCGGAAUUAUUGGGCGUAAAGGGCUCGCAGGCGGUUUCUUAAGUCUGAUGUGAAAGCCCCCGGCUCAACCGGGGAGGGUCAUUGGAAACUGGGAAACUUGAGUGCAGAAGGGGAGAGUGGAAUUCCACGUGUAGCGGUGAAAUGCGUAGAGAUGUGGAGGAACACCAGUGGCGAAGGCGACUCUCUGGUCUGUAACUGACGCUGAGGAGCGAAAGCGUGGGGAGCGAACAGGAUUAGAUACCCCCGUAGUCCCUGUCUCUUAUAU